GAUUCUGGAGAGAAGAUUCGCCGGCCACCGGAUACACAACUGGUCGACUAUCUGGAUAUAUUGAUGGAAGUGGGUGUGAGUCCAAAGAAUGCAAUAUUGUGAAAAUCAUCAGGAGGAUCAAACCAAAGGCUAUAUUUCCACUUCAUUCAAACCCUAAUUUUACCAUCCUUCAAGAGCUUUAAGGAGAAGAAUCAAAGAAGAACGCAACUUUCCACUGAUCUCUACUUCAUUCAAACCCUAAUUUCAACGAAGGUCCACCGUAGCAAGUCAUAGGGGUUUCGUUAUUUGUUCAUGCGUGUCAGGGAGAUUCGGUUACAAAGAUGAAUAAUAAUGUUUUUGUUUCCAACGUGGCUUCUGUGGUUACACAAGUGAUGAAGAUGACUGACAGAGUUUCUGGUGUCUCAGACUCUCAGCUGAAGGAAGUGGUGUUACUGUAGAGGGAUCUGCUUCUUUCCCAGAAGAGGCUGAUACAGCUCCUGUUGCUGACACAAAGGUUGCUAUUGAUGAAGAUGAUGACUGUGGUGUGGAUCUUUUUGGUGAAGAGACUAAAGAGGAGAAGAAGGCUGCUGAAGGUCAUGCAGUUGCAGUUAAGGCAUCUGGAAAGAAGAAAGAAUGGCUGGAGGUACAACUUUGUUUCAACUACAAAUUCUCUUGCAAAAUGUUUGACAAAGCCUAGCAUUUACAUUCCUAUCAAGAUACAAAAGGUACCUUGGCUGCUGCUAUUGAAGGAACGUAGGCGAUGUUUUAGUUUGCAAGUUAGAAACCGUUACCGGGUACUGGCGCUAACAUGGGAGCAAUGACAAAAGUUUGAUAUGGGUCAAGUUGGGUAGUGCAGCUUGCUGGGUAUUGCUGUUGUAUGCCUGUAUGAUUUAGUUUAUUAUGUUUAUUUCCUUUUUGUUUCCCUAGGUGUACUGGGGUGAGUGAGCCUCUGGCUUGUGGUUUUUUUUUUAUGUGUUAAUAAUAAAAAUGGUGUUUUGUUUGCCAAA